rnacentral:rRNA from 1 species
UACGGAGGGUGCGAGCGUUAAUCGGAGUAACUGGGCGUAAAGGGCACGCAGGCGGUGACUUAAGUGAGGUGUGAAAGCCCCGGGCUUAACCUGGGAAUUGCAUUUCAUACUGGGUCGCUAGAGUACUUUAGGGAGGGGUAGAAUUCCACGUGUAGCGGUGAAAUGCGUAGAGAUGUGGAGGAAUACCGAAGGCGAAGGCAGCCCCUUGGGAAUGUACUGACGCUCAUGUGCGAAAGCGUGGGGAGCAAACAGGAUUAGAUACCCUGGUAGUCCACGCUGUAAACGAUGUCGAUUUGGGGGUUGAGCUUUAAGUUUGGCGCCCGUAGCUAACGUGAUAAAUCGACCGCCUGGGGAGUACGGCCGCAAGGUUAAA